AAGUUCUCUGUUUCCUCUCCCAGACUUCAGAUGUCCAGACCUGACCCUGAAAAGGUCCAUUUUCCUGCUUCUUCUUCUUCUUCUUCUUCUUCUUCUCUGGUCCUCCAGGAGAUUCUCCGUCAGUUUGGAGGGAACGCCGUCCGGUGACCCCUCACUCUGAUGGCGUCUGACGGCUGAAGCGGGUGGAGGCGUGAGGUAAUUGCAGCCCAUUUGUAGCUCGACAGCUGGGCAGAAUUCAGGAUUGCCAUUUGGCGUGGAGUGGAGGGGAGGAGACGCCACAUGUUCUAUUAAAAUGUGAUGAUCCUGGCUCCCGCCGCGCCGCGCCUCCACCCGGUUUGAUGUCCCGCUCUUUAGGGCCUUAAUGGGAGACGACUCUGUCACAGUUCAGGACGGGUGUGUACACAGAGCUGGCUGCCUGUUUUGUGUGUGUGUGUGUGUGUGUGUGUGUGUGUGUGUGUGUGUGUGUGUGUGUGUGUGUGCGUGCGGGCGCUGUUGUUUGUGUCCAGAUGUUGUCGGUCGGGUCGCCUCGGGACGACAAACUGUCACUCGUUUUGUUUUAUUUAAGAGACGUGAGAGCGAGACGCCGUGGACAACAAGCUAACAGGAAGAAGGUGACGGAGAGACGGACGCCGCUGUCAGACUGUCACUUUGAGUCAGCCAUGUUGGAUCUGAGGAGGAGGAGGAGGAGGAGGAGGAGGCGCAGAUGGUGUUUCAAAUGGAAGAUUUGUCCAAGAUGUCGACUCACUUAAGCGUCUAAAUGUGUCGUCAGGUCGUCUCACGUCAGAAACAGCAGAGCGCCACGGCAGCACGCCAUCGGAACUUUAAUCAGAGUCAAAACUGAGGGGGACCGUCAGAACCGGGUCUGUGUGGAGGGUUCUGCUCAGACCAGAGACUGGGUUUAAACAGACGAGGUUCUGCUCACCUGAGACAGAGAAGGACCGCUGAGACGGACCUGAUCGGAGACAGGAACCCGUGUCCCUGAUGUCCUCGUCGUGGGUCAGACUGUAGACCUGCAGAGACCACAUCCAUGAACCAGAGAAACAGAAGGGGGCGGGGUCCACAGAGACAUACCGACCCGUCCUCCAGGUUCUGGUAAAGUCCG